CAGCAGCCGCGGUAAUACGUAGGUGGCAAGCGUUGUUCGGAAUCACUGGGCGUAAAGCGCACGUAGGCGGAUACUUAAGUCAGGGGUGAAAUCCCGGGGCUCAACCUCGGAACUGCCUUUGAUACUGGGUAUCUUGAGUCCGGGAGAGGUUGGUGGAACUCCGAGUGUAGAGGUGAAAUUCGUAGAUGUUCGGAAGAACACCAGUGGCGAAGGCGGCCAACUGGCCCGGUACUGACGCUGAGGUGCGAAAGCGUGGGGAGCAAACAGGAUUAGAUACCCCCGUAGUCCCUGUCUCUUAUAC
rnacentral:rRNA from 1 species